CAGCAGCCGCGGGAAUACGUAGGUGGCAAACGUUGUCCGGAAUUAUUGGGCGUAAAGGGCUCGCAGGCGGUUUCUUAAGUCUGAUGUGAAAGCCCCCGGCUCAACCGGGGAGGGUCAUUGGAAACUGGGAAACUUGAGUGCAGAAGAGGAGAGUGGAAUUCCACGUGUAGCGGUGAAAUGCGUAGAGAUGUGGAGGAACACCAGUGGCGAAGGCGACUCUCUGGUCUGUAACUGACGCUGAGGAGCGAAAGCGUGGGGAGCGAACAGGAUUAGAUACCCCCGUAGUCCCUGUCUCUUAUAC
rnacentral:rRNA from 1 species